GUAGGUGGCAAGCGUUGUCCGGAAUUAUUGGGCGUAAAGCGCGCGCAGGCGGUUCUUUAAGUCUGAUGUGAAAGCCCACGGCUCAACCGUGGAGGGUCAUUGGAAACUGGAGAACUUGAGUACAGAAGAGGAAAGCGGAAUUCCACGUGUAGCGGUGAAAUGCGUAGAGAUGUGGAGGAACACCAGUGGCGAAGGCGGCUUUCUGGUCUGUAACUGAAGCUGAGGCGCGAAAGCGUGGGGAGCAAACAGGGAUUAGAUACCCUGGUAGUCCACGCCGUAAACGAUGAGUGCUAAGUGUUAGGGGGGUUUCCGCCCCCUUAGUGCUGCAGCUAACGCAUUAAGCACUCCGCCUGGGGAGUACGGCCGCAAGGCUG
rnacentral:rRNA from 1 species